GGCAUGUCCUUCAGGUCCAGGUAGUGCUUCUUCAUGUGGUCCUCAGAGGCCUGCGCAUGAAACGCAACAAAAAUUGGAAGGGCUGCAUGAAAUCAGUCAACGGACCACAAAUGGCCCCCUGACCUCACUUUGAACACCAGCUGCUGAAGAGACAAACCCACUGCUGCAGGUCAGGGGUGUACUUAGUUUCCCUCCUGGUCGUCAUUUUGUUUCUCACCUGGACGAAUUUGGCAGCGACCAGCUUGAAGCCUCUUGUCUCGAAGCGCUUGAUGAUCUCACCACACAGUCCUCUCUGGACGCCGUCA